rnacentral:rRNA from 1 species
GACGAACGCUGGCGGCGCGCCUAACACAUGCAAGUCGAACGAGCGAGCGAGAGCUUGCUUUCUUGAGCGAGUGGCGAACGGGUGAGUAACGCGUGAGGAACCUGCCUCAAAGAGGGGGACAACAGUUGGAAACGACAGCUAAUACCGCAUAAGCCCACGGUGCCGCAUGGCACAGAGGGAAAAGGAGCAAUCCGCUUUGAGAUGGCCUCGCGUCCGAUUAGCUAGUUGGUGAGGUAACGGCCCACCAAGGCGACGAUCGGUAGCCGGACUGAGAGGUUGAACGGCCACAUUGGGACUGAGACACGGCCCAGACUCCUACGGGAGGCAGCAGUGGGGAAUAUUGCACAAUGGGGGAAACCCUGAUGCAGCGACGCCGCGUGGAGGAAGAAGGUCUUCGGAUUGUAAACUCCUGUUGUUGGGGAAGAUAAUGACGGUACCCAACAAGGAAGUGACGGCUAACUACGUG